rnacentral:tRNA from 1 species
GUAUACAUAGUUUAGAAAAAAAACUUGAUUGUGAAUCUAGGAAGAGAAGACAAUACCUUCUUAUUUACC